rnacentral:rRNA from 1 species
CUACGGGUUGCUCCAGUGGGGAAUAUUGCACAAUGGGCGCAAGCCUGAUGCAGCCAUGCCGCGUGUAUGAAGAAGGCCUUCGGGUUGUAAAGUACUUUCAGCGGGGAGGAAGGGAGUAAAGUUAAUACCUUUGCUCAUUGACGUUACCCGCAGAAGAAGCACCGGCUAACUCCGUGCCAGCAGCCGCGGUAAUACGGAGGGUGCAAGCGUUAAUCGGGAAUUACUGGGCGUAAAGCGCACGCAGGCGGUUUGUUAAGUCAGAUGUGAAAUCCCCGGGCUCAACCUGGGAACUGCAUCUGAGUACUGGCAAGGUUGGGUCUCGUAGGGGGGGGUAGAAUUCCAGGUGUAGCGGUGAAAUGCGUAGAGAUCUGGAGGAAUACCGGUGGCGAAGGCGGCCCCCUGGACGAAGGCUGACGCUCAGGUGCGAAAGCGUGGGGAGCAAACAGGAUUAGAUACCCCCGUAGUC